ensembl:lincRNA
GUAGAGAGCACACUAGCCUUUGUCUCAGAUGAACACUCUGAAGCCUCCCCAAUGGUCAAAAACUGCACUGCCUCCAUAAACCAACUAACGUGGAGGCAAAAAGAAAGAGAUGGAGUAUUACUGUUUUUCCCAAGGCCUGCAAAUGUGGAAAUUACCUGCUACAAAACUGACACUCGAAAUCCCUUCUCUUUGAAGCAGCUUACAGCAAAACUACCCCAGCAACACGGAUACAAUGCCAGUUCCAUGACGCCCUUUGCCAGCCUCACUGGCCUUUUCUGCAAAGUUGGGGAAACUUUUCAAAAUUCCAGUUUUGGACUCUAGUAAAAAGAUCACGGCAAACCAAAAAAAGUAAAACAGACUGAAAUUUCUCUCUUUCUUCCGACUGGAAAUUCUGGCCAACUGCAGUCACCAGAACAAUUAAAAACUACCACACGUUAUUUUUUAAAAAAAUGGAAGAAAAAGGCAAACACCAUAGCGGAUGAGGUGUUAAGGGGUAGACACACAGUUUUGAGGGAAACGUCUCUAAUAACGGGGGUGGGGAAUGGAAAACAAUCUAAGGGGGAAUCAGAUGGGAGAAGAGAGCAAAGAAGAGAGGAAAGAACUCCAAAGUGGUAACGGAAAAACAAAAAACCCACCACCAAAUGAGCCCAAACAGAGUUCGUGGCAAGGAUUCAACCAAGAGCGCUGGGAAUGGCGAGGAAGCAGCUGCAUGGGGACAGGAAAGUGACGGACUCGGGGCUCCGGACAGCCUGCGGGGUGCACAGGUGGGGAGGGACGGUGUGUCUGGGCCAGACUCCACCUUCCACUGAAACUCCAGCUGCGGGCGCCGCAAAGCAGCUAGUGUCCCAGCAGCCCGAGGCACACUCACCUUCCUACGUCUAGGUGUCGUCCAGAGAGGACUACAGGACUGUGCAAAUCCACAGUCGCCCCAAACAGGUCUCCUCAACGACCCCCUAUACUAAGCAAAGCGUAAAAAAGGCUUCCGGGACGCCCACUAUGACUACCGGUGAUCCUGAUUGGACAGUUCCUGUUAGUAAUAUCGUCGCUGAUUGGCGAACUGUACUCCAGCCUCACCCUCAGCCUAAAGAAUCGAAACUUCAGGAAGGCCAGGCUUUUGCCCUACUGCCUGCACCUUUAACGAAAGCAGACUUCCGUGAACUCAGAGGCUUGAAAGGCUACGUGAUGAGACCGCGACUCAACGCAAACAAAUAUGCCAGACGUGGUGGCAGGCAUUUCUUUCUUUUCCGUGACAACAGUUCGCUUUGUGGAUCCGCCUGCCGCUGCCUCCCAAAUGCUGGGAUUACAGGCGUUCGCCACCUCGCCAGACUGGUUCAGUCAUUGCUAAGCCCUGGGACGCUGCUAUGUUGGAGACUCACUUGGUCACUUCAAGACAUGCUAUCCAAAGAAAUCCUGUCUAGAAAAGCAAAACAAAGGAACGUAUAUACAAACAAACAAGUCACACAGACUGCUAGCAAAGAACCUCCCAAUGGUCCUUCUCAAGUGAUGAUGCAGAGACACUAAAUGCUUUAAACUGGGGACCUCAUCAUGCCUGCUAUUGCUUUCAGGGCCAGGAAAAAAAAUCUUUCAACCAUGGUAUUGCUGAGAGUAACAAUGUCACUGACGGUGCACAUUAAGAUUUAUUUCAUUUAUUUCAUGUGUAAGGGUGUUUUUCUUGCAUGUAAAUCAAUAGCCUAUUGUGUGCUUGGUUCACUGAGGGGCCAGAAGAUGAUAAUGUAUCCCCUGGAUUCACAGACUGUUGGGAGCCACUAUUGCCAAUGCUGGGAAUCAAACAUGAUCUCUGGAAAUGAAGUCUGUGCUCUUAACUGCAGAGCCAGCAGUCCCAUAAUCACAUUAAACUUUUAACAAAAUAAAGAGUAAAAUUCACACAUAUUUUCUUCAUGAGUCUGUCAAUUGUGUUUCUGUAAACGUGACCAUCAGAGAUGUUCUUCAUAAGGAAGGGACAGUUUUGACUAAUCUUAGUCAUGAUGUCACAGACUGUCCUCUUAGCUAAACAGCCUCCAUAUUGGGGAGUCUUGAAAUACUCCCUUGGAAAAGAUUAUCACAGCCGGGCUUGUUGACCAUUUAGACACCACAUGGAGGGAUGGUGGAAGGCAAAAAGUUCUCAACCAUUAUGGGUCAGCGAUGUCUGCUGAGAAAGUCUGUUCUCAAGAUAGACUGUCUCCCUUGGCAAUUUCAGAAAGGAGAAACUGUGUACCAGGACAGCACAGAAAACUGCUUAAACUCAUUGUUGCCAAGACCCUCAGAGCCCUGUAAAGGAUGCCAAACAACCUUUUCCCCCCUGCACAGCUUCCCUGCACAGCAGGAAAGUAGCUGCCACUAGCUGUAUUGCUAAUGACCUGUGUGGCUGCCACUUGAUGUAUGUGCUAAUGACCUGCAUUGUCUGUUGAGGUCAGACUCUGGAUUUUUUUUUCCAGCCUUUUGUCUCCCGAUUCUGCACUGCAAAAUCUAACACUAGUGAAAAUACUCAUUUUCCUCAAAGAAUUCCAUCGAGUAAAAUGGCUAACUACUCAUUAAGUACUGUAAUUUCUUCUACAUGGAGAAGAUCCUAGAGCAAAACAAACAACAAUCCAACCCCAAUCCCAUUAUCCCCUUCAGUGCUCUCUAAGCACAAGCCUGGGAGAGCUUUUCAAAAAACCCCAAGUUUUGCCUCAAAAAAUGGACAGUGACAGAAAAAAAAUUAAUUUAAAAUUUGCAUCUUCUGUAACUGUGAUUUUGAGCCACUCCCACAGAGGUAACAAUCCAAUCCUCUCACAUAAUCAUUUUUAAGAGGACAGAACACUUACACAAUGAGGAGUUUUGCUUGGGGGAAGUAGCCUGUUGCUAAAGCCUGGGUUUAUCUUAUGUCAGGCAUGGCUUAGGGUUCAGUACUAAGAAAAUAAAAAAUCAAAAAAGUGAUAAUAGGAAAACUCUAAAGCAGGACAGACACAUCUGUAAAAGGAGACUACCUACACACACAGCAUGUCACACAUGACCCUUCACACCACAGUCUGGACUCUCACUAAAUUGGCUCUGAAAGUUCUGGAAGCACAGAUUUCAGGUGCCUUUUUACCCCCAAAAGACAGUGGACUGGGAUAAAGUAGUUUUCCUGGGACAGAACAGGGUGGGAAGUCUUGUGCACAGCUGCCUGCCUUGUAUACAUUCCCAGUGCUUUGGGAAGGAUAACACUAGUGCAGGACUUUAGGACACCAUGUAGAAAAUAAUCCCAUAAUUCUUUAGAGGUUAUGCCCUAUGGAGGACUUUUCUCAUGUUAUCAUGUGUUUUAAUUGUUUUGUUUUUUUGCUGCUGUAAAAAAAAUGCCAUGUCUAAAAGUACCAUAGGAGAAGAAAAUGUUAAUUUGGCUUAAACUUUAAGUCACAAUCCAGCAUUGAAAAACCCAUGACAGUAAAAUAAGCAGAAGUCAUGGAAGAACCUGAUUACUUUCUUCCCUGCCCAAUGACUCAUGAUCAGUUAGCUUUCUUAUGGAGCCCAGGCUCACCUGCAUAGGGACGGUGCUGUCCACUAUGCCCUGGGCCCUCCCACAUCAAUCAAGAUAAUCUCCUUCAGACAUGGCCACGGGCCCAUUUGAUCAACACAAUUCUUUUUGUUUGUUUGUUUGUUUUUGGUUUUGGUUUUUCGAGACAGAGUUUCUCUGUGUAGCUUUGGAGCCUAUCCUGGAACUCACUCUGUAGACCAGGCUGACCUCGAACUCACAGAGAUCCACCUGCCUCUGCCUCCCCAGUGCUGGGAUUAAAGGCAUUACAUUUAAUAGUCCUAUGACUGACUUCUCACAUCUGUGGGAUAGCUAUGCCUAGAUUCACAUUCUCUCUCUCUCUCUCUCUCUCUCUCUCUCUCUCUCUCUUUCUUUCCCNNNNNNNNNNNNNNNNNNNNNNNNNNNNNNNNNNNNNNNNNNNNNNNNNNNUCUCUGUGUGUGUGUGUGUGUGUGUGUGUGUGUGUAUGUGUGUGUUUCCCUGAAGGUGGAGUUACAGUGUGUAAGGAGUCUUGUAAUCAGGCAGGCCAGAAAGAUUAAAGGAAAGGGAGCGUAGGCCCACUAUGCAGCCAGCCAUUGUAGAUAAGAGUGAGAAUGUGUGGAGUGUGGCAAAGUGUGAUUAGCAUGAUUUAGCGAACUAUUUAAGGACCAGCUCAGAACUAGGAAUUUUAGAGUGUACCACCACUCUAUGUCCUGGAGCUCUCCUCCGCUAACCUGAGACAACCAGUCCAUCAAGCUGAGUGCUGCCGGUUCUGAGCCCAAUUCAGGACACGGGGCCCUCAGGAGACUCGCCGGCCUGAAUCCAGAGGAGCGGAAGUCUGGAGCCUGAACCUUCGGGCUGCUGCAGGAGAGGUACCCCCUGCUGUGAGCCUAUUGUUUGUGGUUCUUAGGAUUGUUUGCUUAUGCU